GGGGGGGGGGGGGGGCGGGGGGUGGAUGCGAGCCACCUGUCCAGCCCCUGAGAUGGUUAUUCCCGCAUUUGCUGGCAUCCCUCAGAGGCCGCACCGGAUCACCCGGUGGUCAGAGAGACCUUGCCCAGGUUGAGGCGGUGUUUGGUGCCGUGGAUGCUGCCCCGAGGCUCUCAUCAACUCACGCAAUGGCUGUCGGCCCUGGAAGGGUCACAAAGCCCCUGGCCCAUCUUGCCUUAAAUCCUUUCCCCCAACACCCCGUCCCCACCACGCGUGUUUCCUCGUGUGUACAAUGAAGAACAUGGGCACCGGGGCCAGACAGACUGGACUCUCCAGGCUUGUGCCUGCAGCUGGCUGCUGACGGCCUGGAGCGCUCUGCUUCUCCAUGAGGCUAGCAGGUGUUCCCGCAGCCCCUCCUGGGCGCUGGGCACCGUCGUGAGCACCCUGCGGGCACAGGAGCCCGCCACGAGCCUGUGCACGAGCUGUGUCAGCAGCCUCCCCGUCUCGCAGACGAGGAAGCUGAGACAUGCAGAGCUUGAGAAAUCUGCCAGAUGCCCCACAGCUGGGAGGUGACGGGGCCGGGAUUGCACGCAGGGCUGUGCCCUUGGCCACACUGCGCGGCCUCUCCAUUGUCCCUUCGCCUCUGCCGUGACUGAGGACUCUGAUAGUGCCUCUCUCGAGCACCUGUGAGCGUUAGAAAUCAUCUCCUUAACAUACCCGGCAUGCAGUAGGCGCUUAAUAAAUGACAGCUGCUGUUGCCCUCGCCUUUAGGCGACCCCUGCAGCUCUAACUCUCCGUGUAGCCUGGCGACUUGGCCUUGGCCUCCACCAAGGAACUUCCGCCCCUGAGUCCAAGGGAAAAGACGAGGCGGGAAGGGGCUGGGGCCGAGAGGACGCUGAGGCAGGGUCUGGGGCAGGAAUGCCCCAACGCAGUGCAGCUGGGAAGGCCCUCCCGGCGUGGGAGAGGAGGGCGGGCCUGACUGCAGGCCCUUUUGGCUGGGCCGGGGACUGAGCCUGAUGGAGCUGAGCCUCCCCGCAGCCCCUGACCUCCGGGAUUGGCAGAACGCCUACGGGUGGUGCACUGGCAACACGUCCACGUGCCGGAUGGAGCGUCCAGAUGUCAGGGCCGCCGCUCCCUCGGGGCGCCCAGCUAGCCGUCACCGCAGUGGUUCAGACGUGCAUGAUGGUCCCACCUGCCAGGGGGAACACUGAUGUCACCCUCCAGGGACAAAAGGAUUCCACCUCCUAAAUGCUUCAGGAAGGGAAGGGGCAGGUGUUCCCGGAGCCGGGCUGCGGGUGAGGGCCCAGGCAGGCUGGAAAGAAGGUGACAAGCUCCCCACCACCCCCAGAGACCCCCAGAGACCCCAGACCACCGCCUGCCGUUUCCAUCACUUCCAUCAUGACGCCAAGCAGCAGGUAGGACACACACCCUCCAGGAUCCCUCAGAUGCAGAUCACUGAUAUCAAUGGGGUUCUCUUCUGUUCAUAGGUGGGAAACAGAGGCGGCAAGGUCAAGGUGGGCCAGAGCUGAGAACGUUCCCUCCUCUCCCCUCCCCUUGGUUUUACUCUCCUGAAUGCGCUUUUUGAAACACGUUCGCCAUCGUCCCUUCUCAUUCAAGCAAGGUCAUCAGCCAGUUGGGCCACAUGGCUCAGCCCCUCCCCCAGCCUGAGGGAUUAGGGACAGGGACACCAGCCCGAGGGGACACGGUUGGGCAGGGGCUCCCUGAUUCUGUGGGGUCCCCUGCCUUGGCUGGUGGUCCAAAACCCACCGUGCGUGUGUGAGCCCCUGGCCGUGCCUGGAAGGCACACGGGGCCCUCCCGGCAGCCACCUCCAUGCGGGACAUGGCUCUGACUCAGUGAGUCCUGUGUCACUCGUCAGGCUCGGGCCCCUCAGUACACCUGUGUCUGUCUUCAGCCCCCUCCACACGUCCCCUCUGUCAUCCUUCCUGUUCGUCCUUCCCACACGGUCAGGCCAGGACCUGUCUCGUGUCCCCUGACAUCAAGGUGGAUAUCUGUAAACUGUGGUCCCCAUAAUAUGUAGGUCCCCAGCCUUGCAGGAGGUCAGGCAGGGGGCAACCUGGGCUCUGGAGCACCAGAGAGGAGCCCCUGCAAGGUCCUGGACUAGAGAGAGUCCCGGAGGGUGUAAGGACCCUGCAGACCAGCUUCCUUUGCAGAGUUUCUUAGGAACAACCACCCCUCCCCCACAUUCCCUGUUUUUUUUCAAUCACUGAAGAAUUGGACCUAACCUCCCUUCGUCCCCCCAAAAGGUGCUAUCUGACCGCAGUUUCAGAAGAACAUUCCAUCCAGCCCUGGGGAAGGAAUUUAUAAAUAUUACCAUAGGCUUCUCAUACCAAGCCUCUCAUAAAUCAGCGCUCGGGGCUCCUGGACCUCCCAGACUAUAUAAAACCACUCCUGUGUUUCCAAUUUUAAGUCAAACACAGCCCAGCCCUGCUGGCCUCUGUUGAUCCUCACGGAUUCCUGGGGCUGAUCAAAGGUUCCCCCAGCCAGCCAGCUAAAAAACAACUCUCUGGUGCCCGUUGGAGAAUUUAAAAUGAAAACGCAUGUAUGAGGUAGGGACUGCCCCGUGGUGAAUGGAAGCAGUGGGGGAGACGGGGUGUGUUUCUCCCCCAAAAGGCAAAGCACAAAGAGAAGAUUUCUGAGGAAGAUCUGGGCCCCGCCCACCUGCAGACCUCCCACCAUCUGCUUUUCUGGUGGUUGUUUCCCUAACAGCUAGGAGCCUGGACCCACCCAGAGGGGGCAAGGGAGUCGGACCCGGAACCAGAAAGGACCCUCCCUGACCCUCUUGCCAAGUGCUGGGCGCCGGGAGGAAGGGACAGUUGGGGAUGCCCCAUGGGAGUCAGGCUCGGAUAGACCUGGGGAGGGUAACACGGUGUCCACACCCCCAGGAGAAUGUACCUACGGGGACGGUCAGCAACGAGGUUCUUGCACAGUCCCCCAAACACCUUCUCUCGGGUCUUCUGUUGCUUUCUAGUGUGUUCCAAAUUAGCAGGGAGGGGACAGGAGCCAGGCACUUGGUCCAGAAGCAGGGGAAACACCUGAGCUAAAUGUUGGGCGGGUGCAGGCUGGCCACCUCGUGCUGCCCUGCAGGGCUGGAGUAACCGAGCAUCGGCGCCCCCCACCCCCGCCCAAAAACCAGCCCGUGCAAGCCUGCCAGCCACAGGCGGGGCUCGCCCCUCUCAGUCCCCGCUGAACUGUUCUCGUCUACAGGUCACUACAUGCCCCCCAGGCUCCAGUUUGGACGGCUUCCCUGUGAUAGAGGCACGGCUCACUCUGAGGGAGAUGCUUACCCCCCUCCCCCCACCCCGGGACCCUGUGAAAUGCUGCAUGAGCGGCCCUGACUCAUUUACGCCUCAAAACAGGUGGUGUGGCAGCUAUGCUUAUGAGCCCAUUUCAGAGAAGGGAAGACUGAGACCUCGAGCGUUCAAACAACGUCCCCAAAGUCACACAUCUAGUACAUUCGAGUUCGAAGCUGGGUCUGACUGGCUCCAAGCUCCCCCUUCAGCACCGCCACCAAGAAGCUUCUCUGAGCAAGCAGCCUGAGACCGGGGGUAAGCUGGUCUUACGGAAGCUAUGGGAGCUGCAGCAGGGCGGCAGAAGGCAUGGAGCAAGAAAGGCCUCGGAGAGACCACCGCCACUGGGCAGCAUUUGGGCAGCCAGCACCUGGAGGAGAGAAAGACCUGGAACAGUGCUGAGGAACCCAGGAGCCAGGAGCCACGAGAGCCACUGGGUCACAGUUCAGGUGGCCUCAGAGGGGGUGCCGUCAAAAGGUCCUGGGGGCGCCGGGAUGGCUUCGUCGGUUGAGCGUCCGAUUCCUGGUUUCCGCUCAGGUCACGAUCUCACGGUUUCGCGAGUUCGAGCCCCGCAGCGGGCUCUGUGCUGACAGUGCGGAGCCUGCUUGUGAUUCUCUCUCUCCCUCUCUGUCUCUCAAAGAAACGUUUAAGGAAAGAAAAGAAAAAAAGGCCCCACAACCCAGGGCACCUCUUCACCCUCCCACCCCGCUGCUGGCGGUGAACGUGGGUGUGGGCGCUGCUGCUCCUCCUGGGAAGCAGAGGCAGCCACGUCACCAGGACAGAAUAUGCUCCAGCCGCAUCUUUGUGACAGGAGAUGUGCAUCAGUACAGAGCUCUGUGCAGGUGUCUCUCUGGCCACAGCUGGGCCCAGGCCUCUGUCAUCGUACAGAACAGCUGGGCAACGUCUGGGCCCAGGGAGAGCCCUGCCUCCCACCCAAAGUCACAUCGCAGGGUCCAGGUGAUGGGCAAUCAGAAAAGACACAUGUCCUCUAUUACAGGUUGAAUGAUGUCCUCCCCCCCCUCAAAUUCAGACCUCAAAAUGAGACCUUAGUUGGAGACAGGGUCUUUAUGGAGACAAUCGAGUUAAUAUAAGGACGUUAGGGGUGGGUCCCCAAUCCAAUACUGUUGAUGUCCUUACAAGAAGGGGAUAUCUCGAGACAGAGGGACGAAGAUGUGAGCACACGGGGAGAAGACGGUGUCUGCGCGCCCGGGAGAGCAGCCCCAGGAGGAGCCAGGGGCGCCCACACCCGGAUCUCAGGCUUGCGGCCUCCAGAUGUGAGGUGUUUAUGGCCCCCGGGGCCAAGGUGGCUUGUGACAGCAAUGCCAGCAAAUAUGUCCCCAGAGGGAGGCUGGACGUAUUCACAGACCCCUUUCUUCCUCUGAGCCCCAGCACGGCUGCUGGGGGCCCGUCCGGAACUGACUUCCUCCUGGGCUCUGUGGGCAACUCAGCCAGUCGGACGCCCCUGGCUCUGGAGAAGGUGCGGACAGGAAGGAGGGGGGAGGAACAUUCCACACGGUGCAGGGCAAGGCUUUCCAUGCAUUCUGCCGCUGCGUCACAGACUCGGGAGAGGCUGUUGGUGUCGGAAGCCUGGCUCAGCACGUCGGGGGGGUAGUCAGCGUGACGAGGCCCAGGGAGGCCCAGGUGCGGCCUCUCCGUCCCUGUUCACGGACACACACAGGCCCGAGGUGGGGAUAGACACGCCCCCCUGUAGAGCCUUAGAUCCGCUCAUCGUCUCAGGUUAUCUGGCCUAAUCUCCCACCCAGGACCAAAGGCCUCAAAGGGACAGCGUCCCGGAAAGGUGGCAACUUUGUACGUCCUCAGAAUGCGUCCAUCUAGGAGAGCUCAAGGCCAAUUGUCCAGCGGUCGGAGCAGGGGACAGUACGCGUUCCCACAUCUCCGGGUGUCCAUACUUCAGAGUGCUGUGGAUACGAUCGCACCCCCGCCUGCAGCCUCCCCUCAUCUCCAGGGUAAGCAGCACUAACUCCUUCAAGAGCUUCUUUGGAUGACACGUGUUCAGACUCCCUCACCUCUUGACCCAUGUCAGCUUUUCUCAAGCCCUCGUGGUGACGCAUCGCCGGACCCCAGCGGCGUUUGACCGGCGUCUGUGGCGAUGGGGCCACACGUCCCCAUCCUGAACACGGCACUUCUAAGAAUAAAGCUCCGGGUCAAACCACACUCGUGUUCCAACGCUGUGUCCCUCCUUCAGCCGGUGUCAUCGAACGCAUGUGCGCGCGUGUGCUAGGCUUCAGGGGACACAGGUGCAGAUCAGACAGCACACGAUUGCACGAGGGACAGAUGGAGAGGGGGUCUGAGAGCGUAGAGGAGAGGGGGCCUGUAGUGCUGGGCGCGGAGGGGCAGGGCCCUGCGGGGAAGAAGGAAGCCACCCAGCCCCGCCGCGGCCGGCCCUGAAGGCGGCCAGGCAGAUGCGGUGGGUGGGGAGGAGGUGGGCAGGCCUGGGUUUGCUGUUCCCCGGCUGAAGGAACAGCGUGGGAGAAGGCACCACGUGCUUCUGCCUCCUCGUUGUGCAACGACCUUCUAGGCGUCCUCACAAACUCGGCUCCGGUGUCUCAUCCACUGGGAAGGCUGACUUUCCCAUCCCCCACCCUCCUGGUUAGAUCAGCACCUUCUCUCUGUCAUCCAGAGCCCUCGCAGCAGAUCUGUGGCCUCUGCGUGUAUCUGGUGACAUCAGCCUGACCCAUUGGUCUCCCGUGUCCCCGCCGAGUGGCCACCCCUCCGGCUGAAUGCCUGGCACAGAGCCCGGCCAGAGUCGGUGUCCACAGCAAGCGAGCCGCGUGGAUGCGUGGUGGCCGAGUACAGCCCAGUGAGAGGCGUCAGCACCAUCGUAGGAAGGUGGGCAGCGGAAUGAGGUGAUGAAAAGCUCCCUCUGUCAUUCCGGGGGGCAGGGGGUGUCCGGGCUGGAUGCUGCUCGGGUCAGUGCUCUCCUGUCACUACCCCGAAAUCCUGAGUGGCUUCUGAAUUAUUAAGAAUGAGGGGCCCAUGGGGCACCUGGGUGGCUCAGUCAGUAAAGCGUCCGACUUCGG